CGGAGGAUCCAAGCGUUAUCCGGAAUCAUUGGGUUUAAAGGAUCCGUAGGCGGUUUAGUAAGUCAGUGGUGAAAGCCCAUCGCUCAACGGUGGAACGGCCAUUGAUACUGCUAGACUUGAAUUAUUAGGAAGUAACUAGAAUAUGUAGUGUAGCGGUGAAAUGCUUAGAGAUUACAUGGAAUACCAAUUGCGAAGGCAGGUUACUACUAAUGGAUUGACGCUGAUGGACGAAAGCGUGGGUAGCGAACAGGAUUAGAUACCCUGGUAGUCCACGCCGUAAACGAUGGAUACUAGCUGUUGGGGGCAACUUCAGUGGCUAAGCGAAAGUGAUAAGUAUCCCACCUGGGGAGUACGGGCGCAAGCCUG
rnacentral:rRNA from 1 species